AGUGAACGCUGGCGGUAGGCCUAACACAUGCAAGUCGAACGGCAGCACAGUAAGAGCUUGCUCUUACGGGUGGCGAGUGGCGGACGGGUGAGGAAUACAUCGGAAUCUACUUUUUCGUGGGGGAUAUCGUAGGGCAACUUACGCUAAUACCGCAUACGACCUACGGGUGAAAGCAGUGGAUCUUCGGACCUUGCGCGAUUGAAUGAGCCGGUGUCGGAUUAGCUAGUUGGCGUGGUAAAGGCCCACCAAGGCAACGAUCCGUAGCUGGUCUGAGAGGAUGAUCGGCCACACUGGAACUGAGACACGGUCCAGACUCCUACGGGAGGCAGCAGUGGGGAAUAUUGGACAAUGGGCGCAAGCCUGAUCCAGCCAUACCGCGUGGGUGAAGAAGGUCUUCGGGUUGUAAGGCCCUUUUGUUGGGAAAGAAAAGCAGCAGGUUAAUACCCCGCUGUUCUGACGGUACCCAAAGAAUAAGCACCGGCUAACUUCGUG
rnacentral:rRNA from 1 species